rnacentral:rRNA from 1 species
GACGAAGGUGGCAAGCGUUGUUCGGAAUCACUGGGCUUAAAGGGCGCGUAGGCGGCUCGCCAAGUGUCCUGUGAAAUCCCCCGGCUCAACCGAGGAAUUGCAGGGCAAACUGGCGGGCUUGAGGCAGGUAGGGGCGAGUGGAACUCUUGGUGGAGCGGUGGAAUGCGUAGAUAUCAAGAGGAACGCCGGUGGUGAAGACGACUCGCUGGGCCUGUCCUGACGCUGAGGCGCGAAAGCCAGGGGAG